UGCAGUCGAACGAUGAAGCUUCUAGCUUGCUAGAAGUGGAUUAGUGGCGCACGGGUGAGUAAGGUAUAGUUAAUCUGCCCUACACAAGAGGACAACAGUUGGAAACGACUGCUAAUACUCUAUACUCCUGCUUAACACAAGUUGAGUAGGGAAAGUUUUUCGGUGUAGGAUGAGACUAUAUAGUAUCAGCUAGUUGGUAAGGUAAUGGCUUACCAAGGCUAUGACGCUUAACUGGUCUGAGAGGAUGAUCAGUCACACUGGAACUGAGACACGGGUCCCAGACUCCCUACGGGGAGGCAGCAGUAGGGAAUAUUGCGCAAUGGGGGAAACCCCUGACGCAGCAACGCCGCGUGGAGGAUGACACUUUUCGGAGCGUAAACUCCUUUUCUUAGGGAAGAAUUCUGACGGUACCUAAGGAAUAAGCACCGGCUAACUCCGUGCCAGCAGCCGCGGUAAUACGGAGGGUGCAAGCGUUACUCGGAAUCACUGGGCGUAAAGGGCGCGUAGGCGGAUUAUCAAGUCUCUUGUGAAAUCUAAUGGCUUAACCAUUAAACUGCUUGGGAAACUGAUAGUCUAGAGUGAGGGAGAGGCAGAUGGAAUUGGUGGGUGUAGGGGUAAAA
rnacentral:rRNA from 1 species